GAGUCUUGUGAUUUAGAAGGUUAACAUAUUCCGAAUACAUUUUGGGCGGCUUUCAACCAAUUUGACAUGUUUCCAUUCAAAGCUAAAAAGAUAACUCUACGAACCCGUUUGAAAAAAAAAAAAAAAAAAAAAAAAAAGUAAAGCCUGAAUCAACUCAUUUAUCCAUAAAGGGUCGAACUGCCACAUGUACAUAAAAUUGUUCAAUAACCUGUAUAGAAAAAAAAAAAGUAAAAUCACCUGUGGCCAUGUAUUCAGGAGCUGCAUAGCCUUGGGUACCCAUUACCCGUGUAGAGACAUGACUUUGACCAUCAGCCGGGCCAUCUUUCGCCAACCCAAAAUCAGAUAGCUUUGCGUUGUAAUUCUGAAAGCAAGUAAAAGUUAAAUAUGUAAAAACACCUGAAAAAAACAGCUAAAUAAAGUGAGAACUAUCAUGAAAUGAAUAUCAAUUUGAGACAUACAGAAUCGAUUAAUAUAUUGGAAGACUUGAAAUCACGAUAUAUAACUUUCGCUUCAGGACUAUGUAAGUAUGCAAGUCCCUUUGCAGCACCAAGAGCUACUUUUAUACGAAGGUUCCAAGGAAGAGGUUGAAAGUAGAUAAUGGCAUAAGUGAGUUAUAAGAAGGGGUGUUAAAUUAGUCGUGCCCGUGGGUUGGCGGGUCGCACCUGACACGACCUCGAAAAUCAUGUCGGACACAUGAACCUGAACACGACGCGAUCUUUUUCGGCUUAACAUGAACUCGAUCUGUUUAACUCGAAAUUUUUAUUUUACUUUUUUUGCAUAUUAACACUCUAAAAUUACACAUUUACAACCAAAAAUACGAAAUGUAUACAAGAUAAUUAUGUUUAAAGUAUAAAACAUGCUUCUCAUUUCUCUUUUAGUUUUGGCAUAAAUUUAAGGUUGUGACAUAAAACACAUUUUUAAAUUUUUUUCAAUGAAUGGGUUAUGGGUUUAAUGGGCUCAUCACCUUGUGAUCCCACAAGGGCGACCCGUACAUGACCCAUUUAGCUUAAGCUGUUUUCGAGUUCAACCCGAAACUGAACCAAACCCGUUUAGACUAAUUCCAAACCCGUGAAUUUCGUGUUAGGUUUGUUUCAUGUUUUCGUAUUGUGUCAGAAAUAUAAGUACAAGAACUCACGUCUGAAAAGAUGGUUUUCCAGGCUUCCUCGAGGCAUGAACUCGUACACAAGGAGUCUAUGAUCAUCCUCUAGGCAAUAACCGAUUAAUUUAACAAGAUUUGGAUGAUUUAGCUGCCCUAAAUAAUUAAUUUCUGCCUGCAAGAAUAUUAAUAAAAUAUUAAAAUACCACCUUACUGAAACUGCUAAUUGCAUGUUUCAAACUUCCCUGGGUACCAAAGAGCAUAGAAAACUUUAGGGGGUGUUUGGAUGUGCGUUUUAAAAUUGCUCAUGUGACACCGGAUAAUUAGCUUAAUACAACAAUAGUGUCUAGACAUGCUUUUUGUGUUUAAGGUUGUAACAUAGACAACCACAUGUUACACAUGUUUGACAAAAUUUUAUCGAAAAAAAGGUAUGUGAAACGAGAUAAAAGUAUAAGAUUAAAAGAUAAAACAACCAAAAAUGACAUUUUUGUGUGAAAAAAAGUAGACAUUCUUUUUAAAAUAUGAAUAAAAAGCUCUGAAAUCAGGUUGAACAAUUUUUCCAUUACAUAAUCAAGAUUUGAACACAAUAAUCAGUUCGAAAACACAAAUCCAAACAACCCGUAAUCCAAAUCAUCAACUAAAGAACACACAACAAUUCAUACUUACCAACCAUUCUUGAUGACCUUGAAUACCUUCAUGGUUUAACCGCUUGACAGCAAUGACAGUACCAGUACCCGGUUUUGCAGCGGCAAGUGAUUGUUCAUCGAUCCACCCUUUGAAAACCGAACCAAACCCACCUUCCCCUAACACACUAUCCGGCCGGAAAUUUCUUGUGGCUGACUUUAGUACGUUAAAACUGAAAGAUCUCAAAUUUCCCGACUGCAAAAUCUCGGCCUGGCUCCUCGGACUAGGGGGUACUGAUGCAGAUGUAACCUUACCUGUUAGUUAAAAGACAUUGUUUAAAUUAUGGGGUGUAUAAAUCAUGGUCUCAUCAACAUACAAACAAACACACGUGUGACGUAUCCAGUAAAAUCCCACUCAUAACAACCGUUCCUUUAUCCCGGAAGAUAGAGAGGUUGUUCCAGCUAAGGGUGUCAUCAGCAGCCAUACAUAAAGGUUUAAUCUUGUAAACUGAAAGACUUGUUAUUCGAUAUUUGAAAAUUUGAACUUUUUUUUCGGUUAGAAUCAAACUUAACGUUUCAUAGGAAAUUACAGUAGAAUGGCAAGUAAACGGGCAGCAAUCCGAUCCUACGGAAAACAAAGCUACUUGUGCAUCCUGAUCAAUGAUUUUCUAGGCAAAAUUAUACAACCCCAUCUCAAGUAAUCUUUAACAGAUCAAAAGAAUCAAACAAAACUGAAACAAGAACAAAGCAGCUACAGCUCCAAUCAAAGAUCAACAUCAAAAACUCACCAUCAAGACGAGAACUAUCAAUUUUCAAACGAACACUGAAACAAGAACCCAUUUGGUAGCAAAACACCGUCAGAAAUCACGCCCCUUUUCGUCACUUUAGCCGGCGGCAAAGUAGAUGAAUCAAACUCUGAAUAAGAAAACUCACAGGGGAAUUUUGACAAACAGUUGGAGGGUGUGAACAAACGCACACA
rnacentral:lncRNA from 1 species